UGUGUAUCAGUACAUGGCAUAUCAAUAAGCGGAGGAAAAGAAACUAACAAGGAUUCCCUUAGUAACGGCGAGUGAAGCGGGAAGAGCUCAAAUUUGAAAUCUUCAAGGUUUUACCUUGACGAAUUGUAGUUUAAAGAAGUGUUUUCUGUUGAAGUUUUGGUAAAAGUUCUUUGGAAUAGGACAUCAUAGAGGGUGAGAAUCCCGUAUUUGACCAUUAUUUUCAGCUGUGUGAUACACUUUCAAAGAGUCGGAUUGUUUGGGAAUGCAGUCCAAAAUGGGUGGUAAAUUUCAUCUAAAGCUAAAUAUUGGCGAGAGACCGAUAGCGAACAAGUACCGUGAGGGAAAGAUGAAAAGAACUUUGAAAAGAGAGUUAAACAGUACGUGAAAUUGUCAAAAGGGAAGCGUUUGACACCAGUGUUGUUUUCUCGAAAAUCAAUUAAAAAGGGCCGGAUUUUGUGUUGUAUUGACCUUAAAAGCUUUCUUCACUCUUUUCUUGUCUUUUUUAAUGCACUUUUCGUUUAACAAGUCAACAUCAGUUUCUUUUGUUGUAAAAGGGUCAUUGGAAGGUGGCUUUCUUUUCGGAGAAAGUGUUUAUAGCCUUUGAUCUCUGCAACCGGAGAGACUGAGGUCUGCAGCGUAGACUCUUCGGGGUUAGAUACAUUUGUGCUAAGCUAUAGCUUUUUUAUAGACAACUUGUUGACUAUAUUUAGUCUUGUGGCUUACUCGCUUAUGCUAUUUUACCUACGCUUAGGAUGUUGACAGCAGUAUAGACUGU
rnacentral:rRNA from 1 species